rnacentral:tRNA from 1 species
UGACCCUUAGCUCAACUGGAUAGAGAACCCGGCACUUUACCGGGGAGAUGGAGGUUCGAAUCCUUCAGGGUCAA